rnacentral:lncRNA from 1 species
GAACGGCUUCUUCUUAAAGUCGGGAGCUUCAUCUUCGCUUACACAAGAGUUCAAGUCGAUCUCGCAUCUAAAGUUAGAAACUUUGGUGGCUCUCUCGGUCUUAACAAGCUCAACAACAUCGUCAUUGUCCUCGCAGGGCAUGUUCAUAUCGAAAAGUAUAUGUGUUACCUUGUUUUCUACCUCCUUCACUUCAAAAGAUGCUUCUUUCUUUGGAAGGAGAUGUGCACUUCGGAAAAUCGGAAAGCCAAGAAUUUUACCAUUACAGCCUGUAGAGUCGUCAAUCUCCUUAUUCCUACUGGACUCAGGAUUAGUAGAUUGAGAGGCUGAUUUCUUAUUACCAUGCCAAACAGGAUGAUUAGAAGAUCCCAAGAAGCUCGAUUUCCCUG